rnacentral:rRNA from 1 species
UGGCGGACGGGUGAGUAAUACUUAGGAAUCUGCCCAGUAGUGGGGGACAACCAGGAGAAAUUCUGGCUAAUACCGCAUACGCACUACGGUGGAAAGUGGGGGAUCUUCGGACCUCACGCUAUUGGAUGAGCCUAAGUCGGAUUAGCUUGUUGGUAGGGUAAAGGCCUACCAAGGCGACGAUCCGUAGCUGGUCUGAGAGGACGAUCAGCCACACUGGGACUGAGACACGGCCCAGACUCCUACGGGAGGCAGCAGUGGGGAAUAUUGGACAAUGGGCGCAAGCCUGAUCCAGCAAUGCCGCGUGUGUGAAGAAGGCCUGCGGGUUGUAAAGCACUUUCAGUAGAGAAGAAAAGCCUAGGGUUAAUACCCCUGAGUCUUGACGUAACCUACAGAAGAAGCACCGGCUAACUCCGUGCCAGCAGCCGCGGUAAU